rnacentral:misc_RNA from 1 species
GUUUGUGGAAGACACGUGGGAAUUUGCUUAUUAGGUGAUUGAAUUGUUGGGUUUCGGUUGAUGAAAGUUGAGGACGGGUUACAGAGAAGACAUCAAAAGUGGAACACUCCCAUAAUGGAGCACAGUAGUUAAUAUCUGAGGUCUUGAUCAGUAUGUGGAUAGAAACUAGAGUCUAUUGGAGAGAGGGAGGGCUGGCGAGUGUAAUUUGUUGAUUAAGAAGGGACAAGGUCAUAGAUAAGGUCCAAUAAUUAAGUUUUAUGUUACCAAAAGUGGCUAGCCAUGAUACACCCAGAACAACAUCAAUCCCUACCAACUUUAUAGGAGUUCAACUUUUUUAACAUUCAUAGAUGGCUGUUUUACAACCAUUGUUUACGCCAUUGGUUGGAUAUUGGGAAUAGUACCCAUAGUUGGUGACUGAGAAGAAGUUUCACUUUCAGCCAUAUUUGUUUUUCCACAAGCCAAUGAAACAAACAUAUUUUCCAAUCUAGAGAAACGUUGCUCUUGUGCCUAUUGAUAUGAUUCCA